ensembl:lncRNA
CUCCUUCAGAGUCACAAGCAGCUUAAACAUUGUGAUUUCUAUAUAAUACUGUAUCAGAGAUCAGAUUCUGCAGUUUAAACAUUGUGAUUUCUAUAUAAUACUGUAUCAGAGAUCAGAUUCUGCAGGUUAAACAUUGUGAUUUCUAUAUAAUACUGUAUCAGAGAUCAGAUUCUGCAGGUUAAACAUUGUGAUUUCUAUAUAAUACUGUAUCUGAGAUCAGAUUCUGCAGGUUAAACAUUGUGAUUUCUAUAUAAUACUGUAUCUGAGAUCAGAUUCUGCAGGUUCCUUGACACGUACCUUUAUCAAAUAACUCUCAACAUUCAGGAGGUGCAGCUUUAUUCAAUUCAUCCAU